AACGAACGCUGGCGGCAGGCUUAACACAUGCGAGUCGAACGCGUGCAGCAAUGCACGAGUGGCGCACGGGUGAGUAACGCGUGGAUAUCUGCCUUUUGGUUCGGAAUAACCCCGGGAAACUGGGGCUAAUACCGGAUGGUUCCUACGGGAUAAAGAUUUAUCGCCAAAAGAUGAGUCCGCGUCCGAUUAGCUAGUUGGUGAGGUAAUGGCUCACCAAGGCGACGAUCGGUAGCUGGUCUGAGAGGACGAUCAGCCACACUGGGACUGAGACACGGCCCAGACUCCUACGGGAGGCAGCAGUGGGGAAUAUUGGACAAUGGGGGCAACCCUGAUCCAGCCAUGCCGCGUGAGUGAUGAAGGCCUUCGGGUUGUAAAGCUCUUUUGGCGGGGACGAUGAUGACGGUACCCGCAGAAUAAGCCCCGGCUAACUUCGUG
rnacentral:rRNA from 1 species